UUCUCCUCAAAUCCAAUGCCUCUUACCCUAACCCUCUCUCUUUGUAUCUGUUACAGUUCACAUGGCUACCCUGCUAUCUUUCCUUUUCCUAGCAUAAUGUCACCACGGUUCUCACGAAAUCAAGAAACAGUCUCACUAUUUUCAGGAAAUUCCAUGGCAAAUCGCUUUUAAGUCUUGCCUCUCUGUUUCUUCUUCUUUGUUUGCUUCUGCUAACGUUCAAAUUUCAAAACGUUAGAGGUAAAAAUCCCACCAAAAGAACCCUAGAAUCUUCCUAUAAAUACCAAGCCAUUGCAGCCAUUAGGGACCACCAUGGGAGCCACACCUUUACCCCAAAAAUCCUUAAGCUUCAGCCGCUUCUUUACUUCCUAAAAAUCUAAGGUAUUUUUUAGCCGCCUUUGGUAGGAAACACCAUUGCUUGUUGCCCAAAAAGCUUGUUGCUUUUCAUUUCCGUUGCUUUCCAAAAAAAUACUCCAGCU
rnacentral:lncRNA from 1 species